rnacentral:tRNA from 1 species
GUGGCUAUAGCAUAAAAGUAAUGUUCAGGACUGUGAAUCCUGAGAAGAGGGGGCGGUACCCUCUAGUCACCCCA